rnacentral:rRNA from 1 species
AUUGAACGCUGGCGGCGUGCUUAACACAUGCAAGUCGUGCGGUAACAGGCGUAGCAAUACGUGCUGACGAGCGGCGAACGGGUGCGUAAUACAUGGGAAUCUGCCCUUUAGUGGGGAAUAACCCGGCGAAAGCCGGGCUAAUGCCGCAUAAGAUCUUCGGAUGAAAGCGGGGGAUCGUAAGACCUCGCGCUGAUGGAUGAGCCCAUGUCGGAUUAGCUAGUUGGUGAGGUAACGGCUCACCAAGGCGACGAUCCGUAGCUGGUCUGAGAGGACGGCCAGCCACACUGGGACUGAGACACGGCCCAGACUCCUACGGGAGGCAGCAGUGGGGAAUAUUGGACAAUGGGCGAAAGCCUGAUCCAGCGACGCCGCGUGUGUGAAGAAGGCCUGCGGGUUGUAAAGCACUUU